rnacentral:rRNA from 1 species
UACAGAGGUCUCAAGCGUUGUUCGGAUUCAUUGGGCGUAAAGGGUGUGUAGGUGGCGCCGUAAGUCGGGGUGUGAAAUUUCGGAGCUUAACUCCGAAACUGCAUUCGAUACUGCGGUGCUUGAGGACUGGAGAGGAGACUGGAAUUUACGGUGUAGCAGUGAAAUGCGUAGAUAUCGUAAGGAAGACCAGUGGCGAAGGCGGGUCUCGUGGACAGUUCCUGACACUGAGACACGAAGGCCAGGGGAGCAAACGGG